rnacentral:tRNA from 1 species
UCCCUGGUGGUCUAAUGGUUAGGGUAUGGUGCUUACACCGCUGAGGCCCAGGUUCAAUACCUGCUCUGGGAA